UAUGGUCAAAUCAUGCUGAAAACACCAGUUUUCAUUCAAUCAUCAGAGUUAAGCAGUAUCAAGCCUGGUCAGUACUUAGAUGGGGACCACUUGGGAACAUGGGUUACUGUAA